rnacentral:rRNA from 1 species
UACACGCUGUGACUAGCAUAUCAAUAAGCGGAGGAAAAGAAACUAACAAGGAUUCCCUCAGUAACGGCGAGUGAAGCGGGAAGAGCUCAAAUUUGAAAUCUUGAAAGGUCACCUUUCACGAAUUGUAGUUUAAAGAAGUGUUUUCUGUUACGAUCGUAAUAUAAGUUCUUUGGAAUAGGACAUCACAGAGGGUGAGAAUCCCGUCUAUGAUUGCGAUUUGUAGCUUUGUGAUACACUUUCAAAGAGUCGGGUUGUUUGGGAAUGCAGCCCAAAACGGGAGGUAAAUUUCUUCUAAGGCUAAAUAUUGGCGAGAGACCGAUAGCGAACAAGUACCGUGAGGGAAAGAUGAAAAGAACUUUGAAAAGAGAGUUAAACAGUACGUGAAAUUGUCAAAAGGGAAGCGUUUGACACCAGUGUUGUUUUCUCGAAAAUCAAUUAAAAAUGGCUCGAUUUUGUAUUGCUGAGACCUUAAAAGCUCACUGUACAUUUUUCGUGUCUUUUUUAAUGCACUUUUCGUUUAACAAGUCAACAUCAGUUUCUUUUGUUGUAAAAGGGUCAUUGGAAGGUGGCUUUCUUUUCGGAGAAAGUGUUUAUAGCCUUUGGCCUCUGCAAUCGAAGAGACUGAGGUCUGCAGCGUAGACUCUUCGGGGUUAGAUACAUUUGUGCUAAGUUAUAGCUUUUUAUAGACAACUUGUUGACUAUAAUUAGUCUUGUAGCUUACUCGCUUAUGCUAUUUUACCUACGCUUAGGAUGUUGAGUAGCGACAUACGCAC